UUGUGUAUGUGUAUGUGUAAAUGAGGGUGGCAAAUGGCUUGGUAAAUAGCCUUUAUUUUGUCCACACGGGCAAACACGCGGACGUGUGUCUAGACCAUGUGUGACACACGGCCCGCCCUAUGGGAAUGUGUUCUGGUCGUGUGUCCCCUGUACCUAAAUUUUGAGAAACAGAAUGCUCAAAAUUGAGCACUCGGGUAGAAACACAGGCGUGUGUCUCAACUGUGUGAGGGACACGGACUCUGGCACGGGCGUGUGUCCCGAGCGUGUGAAGUCUGCACCUUUUUU
rnacentral:lncRNA from 1 species